rnacentral:rRNA from 1 species
UACGGGGGGAGCAAGCGUUGUUCGGAUUUACUGGGCGUAAAGGGCGUGUAGGCGGCCAACUAAGUCCGACGUGAAAUCCCCAGGCUUAACCUGGGAACUGCGUCGGAUACUGGAUGGCUUGAAUCCGGGAGAGGGAUGCAGAAUUCCAGGUGUAGCGGUGAAAUGCGUAGAUAUCGGGAGGAACAUCUGUGGCGAAGGCGACACCCUGGACCAGCACUGACACUGAGGCACGAAAGCGUGGGGAGCAAACAGG